rnacentral:rRNA from 1 species
UAAGGAAUAUUGGACAAUGGGGGCAACCCUGAUCCAGCCAUCCCGCGUGCAGGAUGACGGCCCUAUGGGUUGUAAACUGCUUUUAUCAGGGAAGAAUAGCAGUCAUUAAUGAUUGUAUGACGGUACCUGAGGAAUAAGCACCGGCUAACUCC